UUUACAGGUCAUUCGUGUUAGUUAUUUUUCUCAUUGCCAUACAAAAUACUUGACCAGAAUAAUCUAACCAAAGAGAAGUUUGUUUUUGGUUCAAACUUUAAGAGCACAGUCCAUCAUAAUGGGAAAGUCAUGGCGGCAGGAGGGUGAGGCAGCUGGUCCCAUUGUGUCUACAAGCAAGAAAAAGAGGUGAAUGCACUCUGGUCCUUAACCAUCUUUCUCCUUUUUAUUCAAUCUAGGACCCCAGCCCAUGGGAUAGUGCCACCAACAUUUACAAUGGGUCUUCCCACCUCAGGGAGGUGAUUGAGUCUUAAGAGGGUUGAGCCUGGUAUGCUGCAAUCAAGAGAAGUUAUCCCUUUGACUACCCUGGAUCCCCUAAAGGAUGUAUAACCUCUCAUCAAGAUACAAAUCACCUAUGACUGCUGCCACUGUCAUGAGACCCCCUCCAUCCCCAAGACUAUAUAAACAAUAAAGACAGAACUCAUCUGACUCAUCCUUGUCUGAAUCA